AUGAGUUUCUUAUAGGCAGCCUAUAAUUGAGUCUUGGGUUUUUCUUUUUUUAUUUCAAUCUGACAAUCUCUGCCUUUUCAUUGGAGUACUUAGUCUAUUUACAUUUAAUGUAACUAUUGACACAGAUUAAAAUCUAUUUUCUUGCUAUUUGUGUUCUAUUUGUCUUAUCUAAUCUUUAUUUACUUUUUCUGCUUUAUCUCUUUUUUGGUUUAUUGGGAUCUUUUUUUAUGAUUUCAUCUUGUUUCCUUUGUUGGCUUCAUGAAGUUCCCAUUUUGCUGGUAGGGUCAGGCAGUAUUCCCAGCCCUGUCUGAGCACCAGGCACUGCUGUUUCUAGUUCUUUCAGGUGCUUCCUUCCCUGCCCGUGGGUAAUUCCCUCACAUUCAUCUGCUGAUCAGCACUCAGCUGAAUAGUGCAGAUCUUUGUGUUUCUCUCUCUGUGCUGCUGUCUUCUCGCUAGUGCUCUGUCCUCUGAGCCUCCCCACACUCAGCAUUUUCUCUCAACUCAGGGAGUCCACCAGGCUCUGCCUCGGUUUCCCUUCCCUGCGCUGUAGCCUGGAAACUCUAGGCAGUGAGGUAAGGCAGAUGUAGGGCUCACCUUCUUUGUCCCUUGUCUCAGGGGUCACUGUUCUUUGUUACUUGUUGGUCAGUGUCUUGGAAUCCAUUGUUUCAUUUAUUUUGUCCAUUUUUGGUGGUUUCGUGCGGGAGGGUGAAUCUGUUCCCUGUUGCUCCAUCUUGGCCCAACAAGCUGGUUGGAUUAUUGAUUCAAAGUUUAAACAGAAGUUGAAACACACACACACACACACUCAAUAAAGUUAAGUUUGAGGGACUCCUUGGCAAGUUCGAGAAUGUUACUUGUAAUUGUUUUCUACCCUGUUUCGAUUUAGAGUAUUUUUAAGUUCAUGUGGCUUGUGCACUGCAGCAGCAUCACUGCUGACAAAAACCUCUAACAGUGAAUGUUUUCUGCGCGGAGUGUAGUUUGUCAGCCAUUCGUGUGACUUGGUUUGGCCGGGCUGUGGGUUCUUUUGCCGGUCGGACAGCAGCCUGGUGCACAUGCUGUAGACGGACAUGUUUUCCCUUUCCUUUACACUCGCACACAUGUCAGGCCUUCAGUCAUGAUGAGCAAGCUCGAGCUUUUCAAAAAGCCAGAUAAUUUUGAGUUGCCGUCUGGAAUGAUUUUCGUGCAACUGUGGAAACUUCGCUGUGAGUAAAUUGUAAAGUUCCAGUCUGCCGUUUUCACCAGUUCUUGGUCUUAUGAACAGCUGCCCCCAUGUUAGAGAGCUGAGGAUAUUUUAUAUCCACUCUGCUCUGUGGAUAACUUUCGGACCUACCUUUGCUAACACUUGGAAGAUUAUCCAGUAAAGCUAGUAGUCCUUGUCAGCAAAACCGCUUAAAUGUAUUGAUGACUUUACUCCAUUUAAGUAACCCUAUGGGGUCUAACUCAGGAAGUGAGAAAAUUCCGAGUUAAAUUUGCUUGUUUCACCCCGUAGGGUGGAGAUGUUACGGCUCGUCUGCUGAGUGAGAUCCCCACUGUGAGAACCUAAUGAAUACUAGCUGAUGGUGUGGACCCCUGACAAAACCCUUUUAUUUUGCCUUUCUUUGGUCACUGUUCAUUCUAAACAAUUGUAGCCCACUCCUCAAGAAACUACUUAUUUAAUUCUUUCACUCAUUUUUUUAUUUUAGAAAUAGUCUGUGGAGCUACUUUCAUUGUCUGUUGUACUAAGUUUCACUAUUCAGCCAUCCUCCCAUCUAGAGAAAGGAAAUUUAUCAAUAAUAAUUCAUUUUUGGUUAUAGCUCUAAUACAGGUGUUUCCUCUGCCAGAUGCAUGUAGCCUGAAUCAUUGCUAGUUUUUGGCAGACUUCUUUGUAUAUGACACAGAAAAGUCAAGAUGAGGUUAGAGUAAGUUAGGAGGUAGUUUUCCAUGGUUGGGGGCUCUUUCAGGUGUCUCUUGUGCUCAGCAGAGACACUGGAGGGACCAUACCUUGGCAUCUGCCUCUUUAAUUACGAGGUGCUCAGACUGAAUGAGGCACAGACCAGCAGGUACUUUUUGGUUGACUAACAUGUGAGCUGUGUGUGUAUUUAACUGAAAAGAAAUGAAGGGAGGUUUACACUAAGACAUAAAAUUGUUGGUAUUUUCAAAGUAUCCUUUAUUUAGAGGAAAUUAUAAUUCAACUGGUAAAAUCUGAGCAGUGUGCCCCAUCAUUACCUUCAUGGCCAUGACUGUGGCUUCCGUCUUCUUAGAUUUCUCUCUUGUGCUUAUCAUUAAGACCACGUUGUUUAGGCUUUUUUUCCCAAGUGUACAAUGAAGUGAUUUUUUUGUAAAUUUAAUGGUUGUGCAACCAUCACCACCCAGUCUUAAAACAUUUCCAUCAUCUCAGAAAGAUCUCUUGUGUCCAUUUAUAGUCACUCCCAUUCCUACCCUACCUCCAGGCAAUUGCUAAUCUACUUUCUAUCUCUAGUUUUGCUUUUUCUGGACAUUUCUUCUAGUGGAAUCACACAAUGUGUGGUUUUGCUGCUGGCUUCUUUCGCUUAGCAUAAUGUUUUUGAGAUCAUUCAAGAUGAAGCAUGUAUCAGUAGCUUGUUCCUUUUUAUUACUAAAUAAUAUUCAUUGUAUGAAUAUACUACAAUUGUUGGUCCAUUCAUCAGUUGAUAGUCAUUAGGGCUAUUUUCUCUUUUGGCUGUUAUGAAUAGUGCUGAAAAUUCACCUACAGAUCAUUGUGUGGACAUAUGUUUUAAUUUCUCUUAGAUAGACAUCCAGGACUGGAAUUCCGGGUUCCUCUGGUAAGUUUAUGUUUAACUUUCUAAGAAACGGCCAAACUGUUCUCCAAAGUGGCAGCACCGUUUUGCAUCCCCACCAGCAACCUGUAAGGGUUCCAGUUUGUCUACAUCCUCAUAUUGUCUGUGUCUUUAAUUAUAGUCAUUCUAGUAGAUAUGAAGUUAGGUAUCUUACAGCAGUUUUAAUUUGCACUUCCCUAGUGACUAAUGAUAUUGAAUGUCUUUUCAUAUGCUUAUUGAUCAUUCAUAUCUUUUUUGGUGAACUGUCUGUUCAAAUCUUUGGCCCAUUUAAAAAAAUGGCUUUAUGUAUAAUUUACAUGCCAUAAACUUCACUCUUAAAAUGCACAGAUCAGUCGUUUUCAGAAUACUUACAGAGUUGUGUGACUAUCACCCUAAUCUAAUUCCAGAACAUUUUCAUCACCCCCAAAAAACCCUGGUACUCAUCAGCAGGUACUCCCCAUCCUCCUCCUCCAGCCCUAAGCCACCACCAAUCUACUUUCUGUCUCUAUCGGUUUGCUCAUUCUGGACACUUCAUAUAAAUGGAAUCAUACAAUAUGUGGUCUUUGUGACUGGCUUCUUUCACUUAGCAUAUUAAUGUUUUUGAGGUCCAUCCAUAUGGAAGCAUGUAUCAGUAUUUUAUUCUUUUUUGUUGCUACACUUAAAUUGUAUGGCUAUACGACUCUUGUUUAUCUCUGUAUCAGUCGGUGCACAUUUGGGUUGUUUGCGUUUUUAGAAUUUUGUGGGUAAUGCUGCUGUGGACAUUCAUGUACAAGUUUUUGCAGACAUUUGUCUUGCUUUCUCUUGGGCAGAUUCCUAGUUGUGGAAUUGCUGGGUCACGUGGUACCUCUGUGCUUAACAUUUUGAGGAAUGACCAGCUGUUUCCAAAGCAGCCGCACCAUUUAAAUUCCCAGUAGCAAUGAACAAAGGUUCCAGUUUCUCCGCGUUCUUGCUCAUACUUGUUAUGGUCUGCCUUUUUUGUUAUACUCGUUCUAGUAGGUGAGAAGUGGUAUCCAGUUGUGGUUUUGAUUUGCAUUUUUCUAAUGACUAAUGAUGUUGAACAUCUUUUCAUGAACUUAUUGGCCUUUUGUAUCGUUAGUUGGAGAAAUUACUAUUCAAAUCCUUUGCCCGUUUAAAAACUUAUGUGUUUCCUUGUUGAGUUGAAAGCCUUGUUUCUGUAUUCUAGGUACUAGUCCUCUAUCAUAUAUGAUGUGUAAACAUUUUCUCCAAGAACGUGGCUUGUCUUUUCACUUUCUUAAUGGUAUCUUUUGAAGGCCGAAAGUUUUGAAUAUUGAUGAAAUCUGAUUUAUCAAUUUGUUUCUUUCAUAGAUCAUGCUGCCAGUGUUGUAUCUAAGAAGUCUUUGCCUAACUGUGAAGCACAGAGAUUUUCUCCUAUGUUCUCUAAAAAUGUUUUGCAUUUAGCUCUUAUAUUUAGGUCUCAUUCAUUCUGAGUUAAUUUUUGUGUAUGGUGUGUGGUAGGGCCUAAGUUCCUUCUUUGCUCGUGGUUAUUGAAUUGUGCCAGCACCAUUUCCUGUAAAGACCAUUCUUUCUCCAUUGAAUUAUCUUGGCACCCUGUCAAAAGUGAAUUGAACAUAAAUAGAAGGGUUUAUUUCUGGAUUCUCAGUUCUGUUCAUUUACCUACAUGUUAUUUCCUAUGUCAGUAUCAAACUGUCUUGAUUACUGUAGAUUUAUGUUAAGUUUAUAUUACAUUAUAUUCUGAAAUCUUUUUCAUACAUUGUUUAGUUUUUGGUGCUGCUUUAGCUGUGUUUUUCAGUCUCGUCUCCCCAGUUAGACUGAGAGUACAUGAAGACCCAGCUCGGUCGUUUCAGAUCACCGGACUUCAUGCAAGUUUGUUAAUAAGGUUCUUUCCUCAACUGCAAAAAGAAAUAAAUUUCCUGCCCUUCCUGUGUCACAGGAUUAUUGUGAGAAUCAAAUGAAAUAAAGGUGGGAACACUCUAAACUGUCGUUUUUAUAAUUACAAGGGCCAUUUAUUACCUUUCACUUCUUGUAAGUAAAUCUGCAUGCCUGCCCUCCUUAAGGUCCUUGGUUUUCAGGGAGGAUAAUGUAGGUUUACAGUGCACUUGGUAAAUCUCGAAGCCUAAAAUUAAUCCUCAGUAUGUCUGCUGUGUGCCUUUGUGGUUUUUAUUUUAACUAGAAGUAAGAGUGGUUUUCUUGGGUCUUCUCUGAUGGCUUCCUCGAGGUAACUGGCUCUCAUAGAAGUGGGUUGGCACUCUUCCUCUGAGCCCUGCCUGCCUUGCUUGUCUCUCAGAAACGGUGUUCUCUUUACCAAGCUGGACUUGGUCACAAGUGGACUGAAUGCUCGUGCACAGUAAGUCAAGGAGUCUUCUAAGUGGCCAGCGCUGAAUCAAGCACAGCAUCGAGAUGUUACGAUCCGUUUGGUUAAAGUCCUCAUGUGCCCUGAGAGCCUGGGGGGUGAGGACGCAAACCCUGACGUGUGGUCUGCUCUGUGGUUGACGCUGGGCCAGAUUUCACUGGGCCGUGGAAAGCAGACCUCCAGGAGCGCAAGGUUGUUUUCCACAUGCAAAUGUCAUCGAGGAGGAAUCUUCACUUGAUGGAAACCAUGCUUUCUUUCUAAAUGGCAGUCUGUGGCGCCUUAUUAAUUUCGCUCCAUCCAGCAUUAAUGGUUCUGUGUUCAGGGCUGAUGGGUGUCCGUAUCAGCUACUCCAGCAAGAGUAAAUUUUCUCAUCUAUGGUAGAAUUAAAACUAAACUAAAUUAAAAACUCUCACUCAGCACACUGUUUCUGCUAACUAGGAUUCAGUUAACCAGCGUUACACAUUUAUAAUACAAAUGAUCUUUAGGAUAAAGGCCAUUACUCAAUAAAAGUUCUCAAAAUACCUUCAAAAUGAGAGAUUAGAUUAUUGUGUGUGCCCGUGUGGAGGGAGAGAGAGGUACCAUUAAUUGCAUUCCUGAGUUCUAAUGCUUUACACUGGUAUUCUAAUUUACAGUAUAUAUACUUAACUCAUAUUAGCAAAGUAUGUAUGUGCUUAAUUCAAGGUGUUUAAUUUUUAAGAAUGCGCUGUUUUCUUACACAUGCUUUUCUUUCGAAGAGUUCAAAGAAGCUGGUGUCUUUUUCCUUUAUUAUCCACGUUCUUCUUGAGCACAGAGAGUGGAAAAAUGGGUUUCGAGAGGUGGCUGCGUGCCCCAGUUCGGCCGACAGCAGAGCCGGCCCGGCCUGUGCUUCCUGUGCAUUACAUCCUGGAAGUCACAGCACGGCAGCCACAGAGCUCUUCUUCCUUCCCAUCACAGCUGCAUAGUGCUGCAUUGCCUGGAUGCUCCGUCUUUAUCCAGCCACUGUCCUACAGAUGGGCAUUUGGGUUGUUUCCAAUAUUUUGCAGUUUAACCAAUGCUGCAGUAACAUAAAACCUCUAGGACAGUGGGUGAACAGAAAUGGACAGUGGGCAUCUUUGCCUUGUUCCUGAUCCUAGUGGAAAUGCUACUAGUCCUUCCCCAUUGAAUAAGACACUGGCUUUAGGAUUAAAUUUCUAUGAAGAUCCUGUUAUCUUUUCCUUUGGUUUGUUAAUAUGGUAAAUGACACUGGUGGAUAUCCUGAUACUGAAUCCAUCUUUCAUUUCUCGAAAACAUCCUACUUGGUCAUGGUAUGUAGUUUUCUUAAUGUGGUGUUGGAUCCUGUUUAGUAUUUAAUUUAAUAUUUUUGCAUUGAUAUUCAUGAGUGGUACUGGUCUGUAGUUUUCUUUCUUUGUUGUCUUUAUCUGGUUUAUCAGUGUUAUAUUUUGCUCUGUAAAAGGAGUUGGGAUAUUUUCUGUAGUUCUCGGGGCUCUGGGAUAAUUUGUGUAGAGCAUUGGAACUGUCUGGUAGGUUCAGUAGAAUUCGCCUGUGAAGCCAUCUGGUCCUGGUGCUUCUUGUGGGGUCCUUGUUUAAGAAUCCUCUCUGGGUCUCCUAUGGAAUUCAUCUGCCUAAGAUUUGCAACUCUAAUAGGGUCAGUUUUGGUCAUCUGAAUUUCCUUAGGAAGUUACCCAUUUCAUCUUCCUUUUCAAAUUCAUUUGCAUAGAGGUCUGCAAAGUAGUCUCUUAGGAUUUUUAAAAUUUCUUCCAUUUCAUUGGUUAUUUCCCCCGUGCCAUUUCUUACUCUCUAUGUUUGUGCUUUCUUGCUUUUGUCUUGAUCAACUUAGCUGGUGGUUUGUCUAUUUGGUUAAUUUCCCCCUCAAAAGAACCCAGGAUUUUGAUUUAUUAGUUAGAUCUACUGGUUUUCAACAGAAAAACCUCUCCCUCAUAAAUCAGCUUUUCCAUCCCUGUUUCCUUCCUCAUGUUUUCUUUUGGAUUACUGUUGUUCUUUUUCUUGUUUUCAUGCACUGACAUUUAUUAAUUUAUUAAUUUUAUUCUUUCAUUUUUAUUUGUAAAAGUGUUAGUCUAAUGAGUUGUUCUCUGAUUACUGCUUUAAAUGCAUUCCAUAGAUUCUGAUAUGCAGUGUUUUUUUUGUAAUUAUUUUUUUAAAAUUCUGUACUUUCAGAUUGUAUUUCCUCUUUCACCUGAGAGUCAAUAGUAGAAUUUUUAAACAUCCAGGUGGGGAUGCCUUUCUGUUUUUUGUUUUUAUUAAUAAUGUAUAGUUUUAUUGCAUUGUGAUCGGAAAGUGGUGUUUUCAAUAUUUCUACCUUAUGGAAAUUAUUGUGUUUUCUUUGUGACCUAAUAUAUGAUCAGUUGUUGUGAACGUGCUUUAGGUUCUUGAGAAGAAUGUGUAUUCCCUGUUAUCAGGGUUUGGAGUUCAAUAUAUAUACACAGAUCUACCUUGAUUGAUGACGUUGUUUAGAUCUUCCAUCUCCUUACUUAUUUUUUGCACACGUGCUCUGCCUUGCACUGAGAGUGGUGUAGUAAAUCUCCUAUUGGUAUUAUGUUUCUAACUAUCUCCUUGCAUCUCCUGUAGUGUUUGAUUCAUAGAAGUAGUGGUUGUAUUAUUUGGUGCAUAGAGGUUCACACACAUCAUGUCUUCAUUGUGGUCUGUGGCUUUUAGCAUUAAAUAUGUCCUCUGUUGUGUUUAAUGCUUUGGGGCUUGAAUUCAAUUUGGUCUACUCCUGCCAUCUUUUGUUUUCAUUGGCCAGGUAUAACUUUCUCCAUCCUUUUAAUUUUCAGCCUUUCAGAAUUACUUUUUUAGGAGUGCCUCUUAUAUACAGCAUAUAGUUGGGUCUUGUUUUGUGAGUCAAAUUAAAACCCUUUUUGUUUUAAUAGAUGAGUUAAACCCAUUAAUAUUUAUUCACAGGGCUGAUCUGUUUGCUUGCAACUCUAUCAUAAUUUGUAAUUAUGUGUAUUUUGUUAUAUUUGUGGUUUCCUUCUCUGUGAGAUCUGUAUUCUUUGAUCUUUUAUUGAGAUUUUUAAAUUUGGGUGUAAAAGGACGUGUAUUUUCUAGUGAUUGCUUUUGUAUUUAAACCUAUUUUAAUGUCCUUAGGAACCUGUUGUAUUAUUUAACUCUGUACUGUCUCAUUUAUCAGUUUUUUCUGGUACUGCUUAACACGCAUCUGUUGCUUACACAGUAUUGUCAUAUACAUAAUCAGAAUUUUUCCUCUUUCCCUCCUUCAUUUCCCAUUUCUGCUUUGUUGCAGUACAUAAUAUUUGCAUAUUAGUCUUUCAGCCUAAUCCCACUUUUAUUUUAGUCCUAGAUGUAUAUCUAAAUACUUUUAAAUGCUUACCGUACAUCCUUUUGCUGGAAUUUUCCCAGUCAUCACUUGGUUAGAUAAAACUUACCCUCACACAGAGUCCUCCAGAAGGGCUGAUGGAUGUGGUGUUCUCUAAGCUUGUGUAUUUUGGGAACUGUUUUUCUAUAGCCUUGAUGUUUGAAGGACAGCUUGUGGAUUUAAAAUUCUUGGUUCAUACUUUCUUUCACUGAGUUUUAACAAUGUUGGUCCGUUGUUGUCUUACUUACUGUUGGUUUUGAAAAGCCUGAUGCCAGCCCAGUUCUUUGCACGUUCAUUGAUCUCUUUGCCCAGGGGCCUUGAGGAUUUAUCUGUGAAAUCUGAGCAUUUAAUCAGGAUGUGACUCAGAGUCUGUCACUCUGGGUUAAUUUUCCCAGGCACGUGUGAGCCCUCUCAUUUCCAGAUUCAAUUCUUUUCCUGUCUCUGGAAGUUUUCUUGGAUGAUAGUUCUAAGUAUCAGCUUUGUUCUGUUGUUGUGUUUUCCCUUCCAGGAGCUCUGGUUUGUGAACACCAUUCCUUCUUUGUCUCCCAUUCCCGCUGCUUUCAUUUUACCCUUUUACUUCUUUCUUUAUGUCGUUUUCCUCCUGUUGGUCGUGUUCCUGUCUUUCCUCAGUGCCCUUUAUUAAUCUUCAUUUGAACUUACUUUGCUCAGGCGCUUUGUAAUGUACUCCUCAUUUCUGCAAUGAUUUUGACUUUUCCUUCCAUCACUUUCCGGAGCUCAUUCAACUCUCUUCCUUUCUCCCUGUUUUCUCCCUUUCUGUCUUUAAUUUUGCAUUUCUAGUUCAAGGUGGUUUUUCGAAUCCUCAGAUGUUUGUUUGAAUAUGUUUACUUGUGUUGCUGGAGUGUUGGAUUAGAAUUUUCUUUGCUUCAUGGUUGUUUUCCAGGAGGACAUUUCUGUGGUGUGGGGGUGUUUCUACAAGGUUGCUAGCCCAGGCACCUCUGGCAUCAGCUGGCCAAGUCCAGGCGCUGCACGCUUGUUUGUUUUGAUGACUGACGGGGGAGGGGUGCAUCUCCUGGUAUUAUGGUCCUCUUUUCUUGUAGUGCCCUAAACUUUCCCUUUUUCUUCUUUCUAUCUUCACGACCCAGUUGCCAAAGGGCACUUCUCCCUUCCUCUUUUGCUUUUUUUCUUUGCCAGAAGCUAUGGGCUUUGAAGGAUGCCUCUUUAAAUGGCGUCUGUCUGUUUAAACUGUGUGGACUCUGGGAUCCCUUCCCUGAGUCCAGGCUCUGUCCACCCAGGUGCUUUCAGAGCUUUUCUGGGGGCAUGCAGGUCACGCUCACCCCGUGCUCGUCUCCCUCUUCUGCCCUCGCUCACCAGAGCCCACGUUGUGGGUGUGGGCCGGCAGCACGAGGGGACCCCACAGUGGGAUCUGGUGGCUUUUCUCUUUUCACUAGUGUUGUUUUCAGAUUUUGGCGUUUUCUCUCCUUAG
rnacentral:lncRNA from 1 species